rnacentral:rRNA from 1 species
AUGUCUGCCGCUCUUCCUCUGCCCGUCCCAGAGGCCUCACUCGGCGCCCUCCGCCGUAGGGCCGCCGCGAUCGUCCCGCCCUUGGCGCCGCACCUCCACCGCCAUCUCCACUGGCUCCUCGCCGACUCCUCCGCCCCUUCCCUGUCCAGCGGUGACCCGGCGGCGCCCCACCUCCUCCCCACGCCGCUCGGGAACGAGCACUGGAAGGACCUGGUGGUCGCCGUCCGGAAUGGCGUGCUCAUCCCGCGGCCCGAGAUGGAGGCCGUCGUGGAAAGGGCAGCUCCCGCCGCGUCCUCGCCUACCCUGCCCUCCGCGCCGCCGUGA